rnacentral:lncRNA from 1 species
UGAAAUUAGAUCUCAGUGGUUGUUCAAAUCUAGUGGAACUCCCAUCUUCUAUUGGGAAUCUUAUUAAUCUCACGGAGUUGUAUCUCAGUGGUUGUUCAAAUCUAGUGGAACUCCUAUCUUCUAUUGGGAAUCUUAUUAAUCUCAAACACCUAGAUCUUAGAAGUUGCUCAAAUCUGGUGGAGCUCCCAUCUUCUAUUGGGAAUGCUACUAAACUUCUGAAAUUGGAUCUCAGUGGUUGUUCAAAUCUAGUGGAGCUCCCAUCUUCUAUUGGGAAUCUUAUUAAUCUCACGGAGUUGUAUCUCAUUGAUUGUUCAAAUCUAGAGGAGCUCCCAUCUUCUAUUGGGAAUCUUAUUAAUCUCACGGAGUUGUAUCUCAUUGAUUGUUCAAAUCUAGAGGAGCUCCCAUCUUUUAUUGGGAAUCUUAUUAAUCUCGAACAACUAGAUCUUAGAAGUUGCUCAAAUCUGGUGGAGCUCCCAUCUUCUAUUGGGAAUGCUACUAAACUUCUGAAAUUGGAUCUCAGUGGUUGUUCAAAUCUAGUGGAGCUCCCAUCUUCUAUUGGGAAUGCUACUAAACUUCUGAAAUUAGAUCUCAGUGGUUGUUCAAAUCUAGUGGAACUCCCAUCUUCUAUUGGGAAUCUUAUUAAUCUCACGGGCUUGGAUAUCAGUGGUUGUUCAAAUCUAGUGGAACUCCCAUCUUCUAUUGGGAAUCUUAUUAAUCUCGAACAACUAGAUCUUAGAAGUUGCUCAAAUCUGGUGGAGCUCCCAUCUUCUAUUGGGAAUCUUAAUAAUCUCGAACAACUAGAUCUUAAAAGUUGCUCAAAUCUAGUGGAACUCCCAUCUUCUAUUGGGAAUCUUAUUAAUCUCAAACACCUAGAUCUUAGAAGUUGCUCAAAUCUGGUGGAGCUCCCAUCUUCUAUUGGGAAUGCUACUAAACUUCUGAAAUUGGAUCUCAGUGGUUGUUCAAGUCUAGUGGAGCUCCCAUCUUCUAUUGGGAAUCUUAUUAAUCUCGCAG